rnacentral:tRNA from 1 species
GGAGAGGUGUCCGAGAGGCCGAAGGAGCGCGACUGGAAAUCGCGUAGGCGGUGUUAAGUCGUCUCGAGGGUUCGAAUCCCUCCCUCUCCG